rnacentral:pre_miRNA from 1 species
UAAUCUCUGAAGGCCGGCCGGUCCCCAGGCUGGGCUGAGUGAGUAUCUCUUUAAGAGGCUCACCCUCAAGCAGACGAGGAGC